AUCUAGAACCCGUAGUUUCACUCAGGUAUACAUCUAGAACCCGUAGACCCUCUCAGGUAUUCAUCUGGAACCCGUAGUUCCACUCACUAUACAUCUAGAACCCGUAGACCCUCUCAGGUAUUCAUCUGGAACCCGUAGUUCCACUCAGGUAUACCUCUAGAACCCGUAGACCCUCUCAGGUAUUCAUCUGGAACCCGUAGUUCCACUCAGGUAUACAUCUAGAACCCGUAGUUCAACUUAGGUAUACAUAUAAACCAGUAAAAUCACUCAAGUAUUCAUCUAGAACCAGUAAUUCCUCUGAGGUAUACACCAUAGAACUCGUAAUAAAAAUAAAAAACCAAUUUUAUUUCUAAUUCUUAUCAAUGACCUUCCUAAAGCAUCGAAAUUUUUUACAAUUCUUUUUGCCGAUGAUACAACACUGCAACUUUCUUCAAAAAGCUUACACGGCUUAUAUGAUUUGGCAAAUUUUGAGCUUUCUAAAAUAGAAGAUUGGUUUAAAGCAAACAAACUGACUUUGAAUGCGUCUAAAACCAAAUAUAUUCUCUUCAAAAAUAAAAAAGAAGAUGUAAGUAUCACCACGCUUAAUCUUCAAAUAGAUAAUAAAGAUAUAGAAAGAGUAGGAACUGGAUGCAAAAAUGAAUCUUUUAAGUUUGUAGGUGUUCAUUUAGACGAAAAUCUUAACUGGAACCAUCAUCUUAAGGCGGUUAAAAACAAAGCAUCCAGUGCAGUUUUUGCUUUGUCAAGUGUAAAAAAUUGUCUUCCUAGUAAUAUUAAACUAACCAUUUACAACUCUUUAUUUCGUUCAUUUAUAGAAUAUGCAAUUUCAGCCUGGGGAUGUAACAAAUGUUCAGAAAUGAAACAAAUUCACAUUUUACAGAAACGAGCAAUACGAUUAAUUGAU